CGGCCCGAAGCCGUUGCCUGAUACUCGCGAUCCUCCACAGUCGGGGCAGAGAUAUGGAGCAGAAAUGAGCUAUUUACGCGAUGUUCGAAAGCUGGAGCAGGAGAACGCGACUUGGCGGGUUAUUCUUUCGGCAACGAGCUCGAUUUACUCAGGACGAAGCUUCGAGCUGGGGCAUUGACGCCUACUCUCCUCUCUCGAACCCGAGCUCCCUCUCCCUCUCAUUCUCUCAGUAUUUUUGGAAGUGAAGAGCCCGGACUCGGUUCCGCCUCCUUCCAGAUCGCAAAAGAGGAAGCUCCUGAUCCCGACUCUUCCCCUUUCUCCCUCUCGUUCGGAAGAAGCUCCUGAUCCCGUUCCUCCCCCUCUCAUCUUCGCACGCCUCGCCCGAUCCAGACGGCAGCCCCCCGCACUCGGCCAGCCCUAGACCGAUCCCGACGCCAGCCUUACCGAUCCCGACGCCAGCUCUAGCAAUCCCGACGUCGUUCUCUCCAAAACCGAACUCCUCACUGUGAGUACCCUUCCUCUUCCUCUUCUUCUUCUUCUUCUCCCUACCUCUUCUCCUCUACCAUUUCUUCCCCUUUCUUCUCCUCACCCAACUAAUCCCUCUUCAUCAAUACGAAAUGGAAAUGAUUUGAUUUAUGCUAGAAAUGGUUUGGCAAAGCCAUUUCCUAUCAUCUCUUGUUGCUUAGGUUCAUUGUAUGCAUUUGGAUAUCAAGUGAUGCUUUAAAUUCUUUUUUGAAAUGUGAUCAUGGUUACUGCUAACUAUGAAUGAUUUCGUAAGGUGUAGACAAUGUGGGUUGAUAUGUGUUGUUUUGAUAGUAAAUAAUUAAUGCAAAUCUUGUCAUUUAGUUUGAAGCAUUUAGGUGUGAGCCAUUGUUCUUAUGAUAGCUUGUUUUACAUAGAUCUACAAGGUUGCACAUCAAAUGUUUGAUGGAAUGCUCCCAAGAGAAAGCCAUAGGUGUUUUCUUGCAUUGAGGCCUUCUAUAUUGAGCUUAAUCAUUUGGAAGGUUCCUCAAAGCGUUUUUUAGAAACUUAUCAACAAAAAGAAAAUCUAAAAAUGAGUUUAGUUAUUUAGUGAGAUAUGUGUAAAACCAUAUAUCUUUCUUCCAUAAGCGCUUCUUCUUUAAAGUUUAAACUCAAUGCUUGUAGGUGGAUAUCGUGUAUUUUGAAAGCUUGGCAAGUGUAUAUUCCAUCAUCCCCUUUAGAAUUUGAGAGGGGUUAUUUAAAGUGAUUGCUUCAUGCGCAAAGUGCUUUCAUUCGUAUAUUUGCUUUAGCCCUUACAUAAGUGACAUUUGCGCUAUACCGGUGGAAUGUGAGCCUUCAUGGGUUUGAAAGAAAUAAGUUGCUUUUGUCCACUUUAUUUUAGUCGUUUUGCUCAAUACAUGCAUUAGGUUGAAUCAUGUAUACAUGAGCAUAUGUCAAUGAAACCAUGUGGGUAGUUGGGUUAAGGACAAGUUAUAUUUGCAUAAGUUUGCUUUGGCUAAAGUUUUUUUUUUUUUUACAUGGAAGUUUUAUGUGGCACAUGUCUUUAUAUUCAUAGUUAUCUUGCCGUUAAUGAACAUAUUUCCUUUUUUAUGAUUGGGUUCUAUGAAGUCUAGAAUAAUCAGAUUGCAAGUAAGGUUGGUUUUCUUCGGCGCAAUGUGUUAGUUUCAUAAAUUAUUCCAAGGUCGAAGUUACAUAUAUUCUUGAGGGGAAAUUUGGUGAAUUAGCUUCCAUACAUUUCGAACCUUAAUGCUCAUGCCUGUGUCUUAUUGCUCAUCUAAUGCUUCUUGUUGAGGUUAUGUCUCUUGUUUGGAGAUUUGUUUUUUUUGGAAGGUAUGCAAAUGAACAUGUUAAUCCAUGAUUAUUUGAAAGGUUUUUUGAGAUCGUGCGAAGGAUGUCUUAGUUGUUAUCGAAGUAUGCAUAUGAGAUAUUUGUUUUGUUGCACCAUUGAGAAAUUGCAUAAGCCUUGAUAAAAACAAAAAUCUAAUGUUUAUAAGUGCCUUGAACCUCCAUAGCUUUAUUGGUUGUAAAGCUUCAUACAAAGUAAUAAACAUGAGAAAUCCUAUGAUAUUUGGGUGGAGCUUUCAUUGUUCACUUGUCAAAUUUCCUACAGUUUUUGUGAAACUUUUCUUACUGGUUUUGUGAAAGAAAAGAGCAAUUUUUUGAGAGUUUUAUCACUGUUUUUACAUAAGAAUUCCUAUGGCAUUUAGGUGGAUCAUUCCUUGCUUCUUUAUGAAAAUCACUACAGUUUUUGUGAAACUUUUCUCACUGUUUUGGUAAGGGACGAGUGCAGAUUUUUGGGGGUUUUUUUUUUGCUUCCAAAAUUGUGUUGGGAGCGAGGUAUGUGCAGAUUUUUGCUAUUUCGAGGUCCCAAACUAUUUUGGUAACAUAAUACAUGCAGUUUUUUAUUGUUUUUGAGUUUCUAAAUUGAUUUGGGAAGGAAAUACAUGUAGUUUUUACUGUUUUGAGCUUCCGAAUUACUUUAAGAGUAAGUUAUGUGCAGAUUUCUCGUUGUUUUGCUCUCUAAGUUAUUUUGAAAUGAGUAUUGGCAUUGAUAUUGAAUGGUGUAUAGUCGUUUCCCUUCAUUGGCAUCUUGAUCAACAAGUGUUUAGAUAGGCUACGAAUGAUGUUAAUUCUAUCACAAUGCAUCGGUUUCAUGAGCAUGUGGGUAGUUAAAAUUAUGUGGUAUAUUGAAUGUUUAGAGAAGGUUGAGAACCUAUUACAUGAAAGAUAUUUGCAUAUGGGAGAAAAUUUGGAACAUUUGCAUCUUUUCUAUUUAGUUUUUAUUUCAUUUGUCAGUAUCGCUAUGAUGACUUGAUUGAAGAGCUUUGAUAAAGACUCGUUUUGUAUCAAAAUUAUCUUGGAAGUAUUUAAGAUGCUAAAGGUUAUAUGUGAUGAGUUGAAUAAGUUAUUGGAAAUGACCCUUACUAUGAAUGUUCCUUUUAUGCUAAUUAUACAAGCUUGUUGGGAAUGUUGCAUAUUUGUGUCGAUUUAUUAUUAUGAGAUUUAUCUAAUGCGGGUCGAAGAGAUGAUGAGCAACAAGUUUUAUAAUGUCUUAUAGUUUCUCCCAUGCAUGGUUAGAAAAGAAUAUUUUGAUUAGAAAAUCUCAUAUAUUUGUGUUGGCAUUUAUACAACUUCAUCCACACUUAAACUUGUUAGCAUCAUCAUAAAGAUUUGUUAAUGAAUCUCCAUGUGUUUCAAUGAUUUAUUUGUGAGUUUCACUUGAUGUGGGAAUGCUUUACAAGCAUUGUUGAAAGCUCUACGAAAAGUCUUGCAAAUCGUUUUGUGUUAUGAAAAUUUUGUGGAACGCUUUAUGAUUGUUUUAUAAUGAAAUGUUUUGCGAAGUUUUCUUUUAAAGGUCUUUUUUUGAUUUCAAUACCCCACUCCAAAUGAAGGAAAAAGCACUUAAUUGUUGGUCUUUUUGUAGAAUUUUGGGUCACAAAUAAAAGAAGAGAUUUUGAUAAAUGAUUUGUGUAGAAUUUCGUGUAGCUUUUCAUUCAAACAAAAUAAAAAAAUUUCAUAAGUUAGAUUUGGGUUUAACAACUUAUGUAGAAUAGAUUUGUGUUGGAGAGUUCUCUUAAUCUCUCUUUUUGGAAUGGAGUAAUCUACCUUACGUAGGUUGUCUAUCUUUUAUUAAUGCUUGUCCUUUAAAAUAUAAGUUUGGAAGAAUGUGAUGGGUAGAAAGAGGUGUUGUUUUAGAUCUAGUUUGUUUCCUUUUUAGAACUUGAGCUUCCCUUGUUUGCUUUGAGUUUGGUAGGGAAUAUGUUGAGUAGUCGAGUUGGGUUUGUAUCAAGUGUUUUAUUUGGGCUGUGGGGACAGCAAAGGGCAUUGUUAAUGUUGCUUUAGGGUACACUUGACUUCAAAGAAGUGUGUUCAAAACAAUAAUGCCUACAUCCCUUUUAUAUACGAUUUUCAUUCUUCUUCUUUUUUGUUGCUUCUAGUCGUCUUUCGCUUUGCCCUUUAGCUUUUCUGUCACUUCUUUCAUGCUUUAUGUUUUAGACACUUGCAAAAUGAGGAGAAUCUAAAUCACAAACGACUUGACCGGUAUACAAAAGGUACGUUCUUUUUUAAUUGCAUUUUCAUUUCCUUGUAUAAUUAUUUGCUUAUAGAAUUGCUCUAAUACACCUCUCUUUUGUGUCUUGCGAGGUGAACUUUGAAAAUCAAUGGAUAAGGAGCGUUGGAGCACUUCGAGAGGGAGCUAGGACAACCGGAUCCGAGCAUUAGUUGCCCCUAUUCAUUCCGGUGGCCGUGCUCACACAGCGCUAAAGGGGGCUAAAAUUAAUAAUAAUUAUUCAUAACUGCUUUAGGCCAUUGUAGGGAGAAUCUUCUGUAAGAAGGGAUGCAGUGCAGAUGGGGAUACUUGGGCUGAAUGUGUUGAAGCAUGCAAUGAGUUAUGCUACAAGGAUCCAGUUCUAAAGGAUCGUCAAUGGACUUCUUUUAUUGAUAGAUCUCCUGGGGAUGACAAUUAUUCUUUGUUGUACCUAUUACGCAUCUGCCUAUAUGGCUGUACUAGGAGAUCUCUAUGAAGGUUGUCAUGAUAAAGUUCUGCCUUUGCUUACAUAUGGGCACAAUCAGUAAAAUGGGUCUUGAAUGUUUCCAUGCCUGUGUUGCAGGCUGUGGUUUUAAGUUUGGCAUCUCACCUGAGAAAGUUGAUCAAGUUCAACCAAAUAGGCCAAUAUCAUUGCCACCGCCAUCGCGAUCGCCACCGCCACCGUCACCAUCACCGCCAU